UAUAUAUGUAUAAUAUGUGUAUAUAUAUAGAUAUUUAUUUAUAAGAGAAAAUAUAUCAGUAUUUUUUUGUAGUAUUGUGAACAACUAUGAUCGAGAUGAUACUGAUUUAUGCAUAUAACAUUCAAUUUAUAUGUAUAUAUAAAUAUACAUAUAUAUGUGUAUCUAUAUGCAAGUUUUACAUAUGUAUAUAUAUAUAUAUGUAUAUUGAAUUCGCGUAUAUGUUUGAAUGCGUUCAGAUAAUGCGUCAAAAUAAUUUCUUUGGGCGUAAAAUAUGUACUGCCUGUCAUUUUUUCACAUCGAUGUAUGCGAUAUAAUUACACAUACUCUGUAAACUAUAACGGAAACGCAAAUCGUGCAAUGAAUGAACAUUCGUAUAUUUCUACGUGUUGCAAUUUCCAAGGCAACUUCAAAACAAAAUUUCGGUUUCACGCCUUCCAGAAACGAAAUAAUCAUUAAAAAUAAUUUAUUACGGACGCAUACAUACAAUUGAAACAAUUUUUACGUAAUUUACAGUAGUAUUUUACAGAACAUAUCGAUAGAAGACUCUUCUGCCUCUAGAGAUUCUCGAACGUAAUAUAUAAUAAAUAAUAAUGAAAGUAAUACGUAAAACAAAAAAAUAACGCGAAAAUAGUUGAAAUUAUAAGACACCGCAGUGAUUCUACCACUGGUGUGUAUCUCUCGGUUACCACAUGAGGAAAAAAAAGAAUGAAAAAUGAAUAAAGCAGAAAAAACGAGAAAAAAAAAAACAAUUUAUUUCCACACAUUUGAAUUAUCUAGCGAGAAAAAGAAAAUGUAAGACUUCUCAGAACAAGUUUUUAGUUUUUAACGACAUUAUACGUGUUUUCACAAGACGUUCAUUAAGAGUGAAAACAGAGAUAAGGGAGAGAAAGUCAAAGUCAUAUAUCUGCGUCUCUGACUUUGGUCUUGAAGCGAGAUAAAGAAGAUAUUGUGCGAAUAAAAUAAUAUAAUCGCGCGCGUCUAUCAAAAAUUACGUGAUUCGAUUGUAGAAAAUUGAAGAUUCACACAGUGCGUAACUUAAUUCUCUUCUACAAAUGUAUCACUUCUGACUAUAUAAUGCGAAAGAAAGCAGAAUAUACUAUCGCGAGAUAUAUAUAUAUAUACAUAAGGAAUUUACGUGAAAUGAUAGAUGCAAAUUCUAUUUCUGCUAAUAGCUCACGAAGCACUUAAGCGGCUCAAGCAAUUGAAAAACAAAAAUGUAUAAAAAUUUGAAAAAAAAAGAAAAAAAAAACAUUGGAAGACAAGGAUCUCUUCAGCUAUGUCGAUUAACGAAACACAAGAACGUGAUAAGUGGCAAAUUGAAUGAGAACUCGCGCGGAGAGACCGCGAGUAUAAUAACAACUGUGUUAUAUCCAAAGGUCCACACUUACGCUAGUCUGGCCGAGAACUUCAUACCGCUGUCGAGAUGUGUGUGUGUGUGUGUGUAUGUGUGUGUGGUGCGUGGUGUAUAUGUGCGUGCGCGCGAAUGUAUUGUAUUAGCAUAAUAUUCUACUUGUACGUACGUUGUUGUAUCCACGUUGAAUAUCUAAAUAUCUCUGGCACGCGCGUCCGACAACAGAAAUCUAUGUACUUAUAGGAUUGUUGCUCUCGUACUCGAGCGUGUUACACAUAUGUAUAUUCGACCAUACGUGCUUUCGAACGAUUAAAAAACUGAAAAAAAAAAAAAAAAUGAAAAAAACAAAAAAACGAAAGACGGAAAAGAAGAAGAGAAAACCACUCCGCCGCCGCCGGAUGUCUUGAAAAGAUAUACGCUUACAAAUAGAUCACAAUCUAGAUCGUACUCUGUGCAUUUCCCCGCCCUUCCUUCCCUACACACACACACAUAGUAAUCCAUUGUCGACGAGGAUAUUGUUCCUUUUUUGUAAAACCUGAAGCGAUCGUCGAAAUAAUCACGGACACGGGUUGUUCCAUGUUUAUAUCAGCGGAUGCAAGGAGUGAGUGAUCCGACGAACAUUGGGGGAGGGAGGGGGGUGACACCUGCGUGUGCGUGCGGUAAUUGAUGUGCGUGAAAAAAACAAAAAAAACAAAAGAACGACUUGUCACCUUAGGCCCGUUUCUUUGUGACAAAGGUGAUACACACAGUAAGGAGAGAGUUCCGUGAAAGUUGUAUUAAUGUUAACACGUGUAUUUUCCGUUGUGUAUAUCGUAUUGUACAUAAAAAAAAAAAAAAAAAAAAAUGCUAAAUCGUGAUCAUUCACACGCAUACGCCAGUAUUUAUUUGCGUAUGUCUCUACGAAUCGUCCUUGCUAACAUCUAGAAUUUGUUCGCGCGAUCUUAAUAGAGCGAACGGAGGAUUGAUGUAAUAUCUGCGAUUGUGUAUAAGAAAACGAAGACGGUGGUGCGUGCGUGCGGAAAUUUUGUGUAAACGCGCGCGAACAGAAACAAAACUUCCGAUAUUUGUAUUAAAAUACUGUCCGCAAUUUUGUGCGUGCGUGCGUGCGUUUGCGUGUGUGCGCGCGCGCGCGCGUGUGUAUGCGACGUUAUUAAGAUAUUAUUAUUCCGCUAAAAAAAACCACGUGUACGAGACGUUUAGCUCGUAGGUUUCUAGCCGAUUUUUCAAAAGUGCGUGCAUGCGCGCGCGCGCACGCAAAAUCACGGAGUUUUAAUAUUAUAAAAAUACGACUGACUGCUGGUUGUAUGGUUGUGAGCAAACUUUUUCUCUUCAUACAUCAUAGAUGAGAGAAUACACACACAUCCUUCUCCUUAAAAAAAAAAAAAAACUACAUACAUUGCACACGGAAAGAGGAGUAAUCGUUGCAUACGCGUUUAUGACGGAAUUAAGAGACUUGUGAUCUAAUUAUAAAUAUAUAUUAUACAUAUAUACAUAUAUAUAUAUAUAUAUAUAUAUAAUCACAAUUUCUUUACUCAACA